GCUGAAACGUGAGUUUUUAGCAAAUCUCAAAAAAACAGUCUCAGUUCGGAUUGAAGUCUGCAACUCGACUUCAUGAAGUCGGAAUCGCUAGUAAUCGCGAAUCAGCAUGUCGUGGUGAAUACGUUCUCGGGGUUUGUACACACCGCCCGUCAAACCACGAAAGUUGACAAUACCCAAAACCAGUAGCCUAACUUGCAAAAGAGGGAACUGUCUAAGGUAGGGUUGAUGAUUGGGGUUAAGUCGUAACAAGGUAUCCCUACCGGAAGGUGGGGAUGGAUCACCUCCUUUCUAAGGAAAAUAUCAUCUUCAGUUGUGAAAGACUUAAAAAAAGUUUUUUAUUUUUUAAGAUAAAAAUCAAUAAUGGCUUGGGCCUAUAGCUCAGUUGGUUAGAGCACACGCCUGAUAAGCGUGAGGUCGAUGGUUCGAGUCCAUUUAGGCCCACCAAAAUAUCCAUUUUAAACCAACAACCU
rnacentral:misc_RNA from 1 species